AACGAACGCUGGCAGCAGGCUAACACAUGCAAGUCGAGCGCCCCGCAAGGGGAGCGGCAGACGGGUGAGUAACGCGUGGGAACGUGCCCUUUGGUUCGGAACAACUCCGGGAAACUGGAGCUAAUACCGGAUAAGCCCUUCGGGGGAAAGAUUUAUCGCCAAAGGAUCGGCCCGCGUCUGAUUAGCUAGUUGGUGGGGUAAUGGCCCACCAAGGCGACGAUCAGUAGCUGGUCUGAGAGGAUGAUCAGCCACACUGGGACUGAGACACGGCCCAGACUCCUACGGGAGGCAGCAGUGGGGAAUAUUGGACAAUGGGCGCAAGCCUGAUCCAGCCAUGCCGCGUGAGUGAUGAAGGCCUUAGGGUUGUAAAGCUCUUUUGUCCGGGAAGAUAAUGACUGUACCGGAAGAAUAAGCCCCGGCUAACUUCGUGCCAGCAGCCGCCGUAACAC
rnacentral:rRNA from 1 species